AUCACUGUGGUGCAGUGGGUCAGUGCAUCUGGCUGUUAACCGGAAGGUUGGUGGUUCAAGCCCACCCAGGGAUG